rnacentral:rRNA from 1 species
CAAACCUGCCUUAAGGAUGGGGAUAACAGACGGGAACGACUGCUAAUACCGAAUACGUUCUAAGCAUCGCAUGAUGCAUAGAAGAAAGGGUGGCCUCUACAAGAAAGCUAUCGCCUUAAGAGGGGUUUGCGACUGAUUAGGUAGUUGGUGAGGUAACGGCUCACCGAGCCGACGAUCAGUAGCCGGUCUGAGAGGAUGAACGGCCACACUGGAACUGAGACACGGUCCAG